AUUGAACGCUGGCGGCAGGCCUAACACAUGCAAGUCGCGCGAGCGGCGGACGGGUGAGUAAUGUCUGGGAAACUGCCUGUUGGAGGGGGAUAACUACUGGAAACUGUAGCUAAUACCGCAUACCAUCAGAUGUGCCCCGAUGGGAUUAGCUGGUAGGUGGGGUAACGGCUCACCUAGGCGACGAUCCCUAGCUGGUCUGAGAGGAUGACCAGCCACACUGGACCUGAGACACGGUCCAGACUCCUACGGGAGGCAGCAGUGGGGAAUCUUGCACCAUGGGCGCAAGCCUGGUGCAGCCAAGCCACGGGUGUGAAGAAGGCCUUCGGGUUGUAAAGCACUUUCAGCGUGGAGGCGUUACCCGCAGAAGAAGCACCGGCUAACUCCGUGCCAGCAGCCGCGGUAAUAC
rnacentral:rRNA from 1 species